rnacentral:rRNA from 1 species
GUCGAGCGGACUUGAUAAGAAGCUUGCUUCUCUGAUAGUUAGCGGCGGACGGGUGAGUAACACGUAGGCAACCUGCCCUCAAGUUUGGGACAACUACCGGAAACGGUAGCUAAUACCGAAUAAUUGUUUUCUUCGCCUGAAGGAAACUGGAAAGACGGAGCAAUCUGUCACUUGGGGAUGGGCCUGCGGCGCAUUAGCUAGUUGGUGAGGUAACGGCUCACCAAGGCGACGAUGCGUAGCCGACCUGAGAGGGUGAUCGGCCACACUGGGACUGAGACACGGCCCAGACUCCUACGGGAGGCAGCAGUAGGGAAUCUUCCGCAAUGGGCGAAAGCCUGACGGAGCAAUGCCGCGUGAGUGAUGAAGGUUUUCGGAUCGUAAAGCUCUGUUGCCAGGGAAGAACGCUUGGGAGAGUAACUGCUCUCAAGGUGACGGUACCUGAGAAGAAAGCCCCGGCUAACUACGUGCCAGCAGCCGCGGUAAUACGUAGGGGGCAAGCGUUGUCCGGAAUUAUUGGGCGUAAAGCGCGCGCAGGCGGUCAUUUAAGUCUGGUGUUUAAUCCCGGGGCUCAACCCCGGAUCGCACU